rnacentral:rRNA from 1 species
AUCAUUGGGCGUAAAGGGUGAGUAGGCGGAUAUGCAAGUCUAUGUGUAAAAUACCACAGCUCAACUGUGGAACUAUGCUGGAAACUGCAUGACUAGAGUCUGAUAGGGGAAGUUAGAAUUCCUGGUGUAAGGGUGGAAUCUGUUGAUAUCAGGAAGAAUACCAGAGGCGAAGGCGAACUUCUAGGUCAAGACUGACGCUGAGUCACGAAAGCGUAGGGAGCAAACAGGAUUAGAUACCCUGGUAGUCUACGCUGUAAACGAUGCACACUUGGUGUUAAUCGAAAGGUUAGUACCGAAGCUAACGUGUUAAGUGUGCCGCCUGGGGAGUAUGUUCGCAAGAAUGAAACUCAAAGGAAUUGACGGGGGCCCGCACAAGCGGUGGAGCAUGUGGUUUAAUUCGAUGAUACGCGAGGAACCUUACCAGGGCUUGACAUAUACAGGAUAUAGUUAGAGAUAACUAUUCCCCGUUUGGGGUCUGUAUACAGGUGCUGCAUGGUUGUCGUCAGCUCGUGCCGUGAGGUGUUGGGUUAAGUCCCGCAACGAGCGCAACCCUUGUUGUCUGUUACCAGCAUGUAAAGAUGGGGACUCAGACGAGACUGCCGGUGAUAAGCCGGAGGAAGGUGAGGAUGACGUCAAAUCAUCAUGGCCCUUAUGUCCUGGGCUACACACG